GGAGGAUUAGCUCAGCUGGGAGAGCGUCUGCCUUACAAGCAGAAUGUCGGCGGUUCGAUCCCGUCAUCCUCCA
rnacentral:tRNA from 1 species